rnacentral:rRNA from 1 species
CCUACGGGAGGCAGCAGUGGGGAAUAUUGGACAAUGGGCGAAAGCCUGAUCCAGCCAUGCCGGGUGUGUGAAGAAGGUCUUCGGAUUGUAAAGCAUUUAAGUUGGGAGGAAGGGUUGUAGAUUAAU